rnacentral:rRNA from 1 species
AGAGUUUGAUCCUGGCUCAGAUUGAACGCUGGCGGCAGGCCUAACACAUGCAAGUCGAGCGGAUGAAGGGAGCUUGCUCCCUGAUUUAGCGGCGGACGGGUGAGUAAUGCCUAGGAAUCUGCCUGGUAGUGGGGGAUAACGUUCCGAAAGGAACGCUAAUACCGCAUACGUCCUACGGGAGAAAGCAGGGGACCUUCGGGCCUUGCGCUAUCAGAUGAGCCUAGGUCGGAUUAGCUAGUUGGUGAGGUAAUGGCUCACCAAGGCGACGAUCCGUAACUGGUCUGAGAGGAUGAUCAGUCACACUGGAACUGAGACACGGUCCAGACUCCUACGGGAGGCAGCAGUGGGGAAUAUUGGACAAUGGGCGAAAGCCUGAUCCAGCCAUGCCGCGUGUGUGAAGAAGGUCUUCGGAUUGUAAAGCACUUUAAGUUGGGAGGAAGGGCAUUAACCUAAUACGUUAGUGUUUUGACGUUACCGACAGAAUAAGCACCGGCUAACUUCGUGCCAGCAGCCGCGGUAAUACGAAGGGUGCAAGCGUUAAUCGGAAUUACUGGGCGUAAAGCGUGCGCAGGCGGUUUUGUAAGUCAGAUGUGAAAUCCCCGGGCUUAACCUGGGAACUGCGUUUGAAACUACAAGGCUAGAGUGUGGCAGAGGGGGGUGGAAUUCCACGUGUAGCAGUGAAAUGCGUAGAGAUGUGGAGGAACACCGAUGGCGAAGGCAGCCCCCUGGGUUAACACUGACGCUCACG